AUGACAACAAGGAGGCGGCUGCUCGUGUCCGCCGGUGGCCUGCUCCUCGUCGCCGUCGCGAGCAACAACGCCAGCAGGAGAGCGGCGGCGGCCGCGGUCGACAGCUACGACCCGGUGACAGAGGCGGAGCGCGCGGUGAGCGAGGCGGUGUCGCAGCGCGUCGGGGAGGCGGUCCGGCUGCUGGAGGCCGGGCGGGAGCUACAGGCGCGCGGCGAGUUCGUGGGGGCGCUGGCGUCCUUCACGGCGGUGGUGAGCGGGUACAAGGAGCUGGCGCUGUCGGAGUACGAGCGGGUGGGGCGGGCGUUGGUGCUGUACGAGAUCGGCGACCGCGACAAGUCCAUCACGGAGAUGGAGGACGUGUCGAUGGAUUUGUGGGCGGCAGAGGAGCUGCGGUGGUGGGGAGCUACGCCGGCAGUGGUCUAA
rnacentral:rRNA from 1 species